rnacentral:misc_RNA from 1 species
AGUUAAACAGUACGUGAAAUUGUUGAAAGGGAAACGAUUGAAGUCAGUCAUACCAACGGGAAAUCAACCUCUUGAGUUUGGUCUCGUGGGUUUCGAAGAGUUUAAAAGCCUUCGGAUUUUCGAGAUUGGGCUCUUCUGGUGUACUUUCUCGUACGGUUAGUCAACAUCGGUUUUGAAUGUCAUAAAAUGACUGGAGGAAUGUGGCUUCGAUCUCGUAUUGAAGUGUUAUAGCCUUUGGUAGAUGUGAUGUUCGAGACCGAGGAUUGCAACGGAUACCCUUCUGGGCUAUUCGUCUGAUCUCUGAAACGUUGCCUUGAUGUCGAAAGCUUGCUUAUGAUGUUAGGGUAUUACGGUCAAAAGGUUAGAACGGAUUAAAUUCGUUAAGGAUGUUGACGUAAUGACUUUAAA